AUUGAACGCUGGCGGCAGGCUUAACACAUGCAAGUCGAACGAGUGGCGAACGGGUGAGUAACGCAUCGGAACGUACCGAGUACUGGGGGAUAACUGUCCGAAAGGACAGCUAAUACCGCAUAUUAUACGAGCGGCCGAUGUCUGAUUAGCUGGUUGGCGGGGUAAAGGCCCACCAAGGCGACGAUCAGUAGCGGGUCUGAGAGGAUGAUCCGCCACACUGGGACUGAGAAACGGCCCCGACACCUACGGGAGGCAGAAGUGGGGAAUUUUUGACAAUGGGCGCAAGCCUGAUCCAGCCAUGCCGCGUGUCUGAAGAAGGCCUUCGGGUUUUAAAGCACUUUUGUCAGGGAAGCGGUACCUGAAGAAUAAGCACCGGCUAACUACGUGCCAGCAGCCGCGGUAAUUC
rnacentral:rRNA from 1 species